ACUUUGUAUGGUACAGCGGAAUGGCGGCCAAUGCAAAACCAACUGAAGGUAAGAUAUUUUGCCCGUUUACUUAUUAUGAUUCACUACCGAACGCUGUAUAUACAUGAUAUAAAAGCUGAAAAUAAAACCAUUCAAAACACGUACAAAGAUGCCUUUGAGUGCCGCCGAAAGGGCAAGAAAAUAUAGAGAACAAUUAAAACAAAACCCAGAAUUAUAUACAAAUUACCUUAAGAAAGAACAUGAAAGAUACGAAAAAAGAAAAGCAGAGGGCACCAUUAAGCUUGUUAGCGAAAUGACCAGUCGAGAAAAACGAAGCACGCGUAAAGCAUGGCGAGAGAGAAAAAACGCCAGAAACAAAGGCAAAAUUUAACAGAAUCUUUGACACCACCGUCAACACCGACAACAUCUCUGCCGUUUGAAAUUGAAGCGAGGCGCGAGUCUAGAAAGGCUGCGUGUUCGAAAAGAAAGAUCAGCAGUAUACCGCCACGUUGAAAAACUUAAAUUAAAAUUGCAAACAAAAACAAGACAGGCUGAGAGAUAUACAAAACGACUUCAACGUCAUAAAAUAAAUAUGUUGGACAAAAACUCACCUCGUACAAAAACAAAUCUUCUUUUAAGGGGACAGAAAGUGCACAGCAAAACAAGAAAACCUUUUUUGUUUCACAAUGUUCUUAUUCGCGGCUUACGAGAAAAAUACAAAUCGACAAGGGCAAACAAAACAAAACGACUGCUUGACAAAGCAUUUAUGAAAUCUUUAUUAAAGAAGUAUCGUGUGAAAAGUAUGGCUUCACAUGAACUAGGAACAAACGUGAAACGCUUAGAUAGAGCUAGAAUCAGAGGAGCAUUCAUCCGAAAAAGAGAGACAGUUAUAAGUAAAUUGAAGAAAUCAGUUGAAGAGUUUCUGUCCCGUGGUGAUAAUAGUAGAAUCAAAGCAGGAAAACGCUCAACUAAAACAUUAAAAAAGUACAAACAGCAAGUGCGUCUUCUUAACGACUCAUUAAAGACAUUACAUGUCAAAUAUUUGAUAGAGACAACUAGCAAGAUGUCGUAUGCCCUUUUCUGUCGUCUCAAGACCUUUUUUUUGUAAGACACCCAAAACCCUCAGACAGAGAAACUUGCCAAUGCAAACGUCACGAGAAUGUGAAAUUCAAAGCAGAAAAGCUGAAACAGUUGUCAGUAUUAACAACGUCUGACCUAAAUGAGAUUGCAAAUACAAUUGUUUGCAGCUCAAGACAAAAAGAUUGCAUGUAUAGAGACUGUUGUGUCUGCAAAGACAAGAAAGUGCCUUUGCAAGAGUUUGAGGAAGGUAAGAUAACGUAGUGGUACGAAUGGCAGACGAAACGUUUCCCAAGGAAAAGUGACGUUGAUAAAGAAACCAAAAUGGUUACAAUGACUGUUAAGGAAAAAGAGAAAGGAGCAAUUGGUAACCUCGUUAAUGAUUUUCAACAAGAGAUGGACAAAUGUUGCAAGCACCUGUUUAACAUUCAAAAUCAGUACGAAUCUAUCAGAAAACUGAAGAGAAACUAACCAAAAGAGAUCUCAUUUGUCACAUCGAUUUUUCUGAAAACUAUUCAUGUAAAUACAAUGAAGAAAACCAUAGCAUACACUUCGGGGCGUCACAGCGUCAGGUUUCCCUUCACACCGGGGUCCUUUACACAGAAAAUGCAAUCCAAAGCUUGUGUUCUUUGUCGGACAACCUUAAGCACGGACCUGUCGGGAUAUGGGCACAUCUUAAGCCCGUUUUGAACUUUGCAAAAGACAAAUAUCCUGAAAUCCAGAACUUGUACUUUAUAAGUGACGGCCCAACCACCCAGUACAGGUGCAAGGAUAACUUUUAUCUGCUCAGCACACUACCAUUUGAGGAAGGCUUUAAAUGCGAUUGGUCGUUCAUGGAAGCUGGCCACGGAAAAGGUGCCCCUGAUGGGAUUGGGGCAGUCAUCAAAAGAGCUGCUGCUGGGGCCAUGCUGCAUGGCGCGGACAUUGUAAACGCAGUAUCUAUGUAUGACACACUUACUAAGAAGGGCAUUGCUCCGCACCUGUUUCUUAUAACGGAUGACCAGUUUGAGAAACAAGAAAAAACUGCACCUAAUGAUUUACAGGCGGUAAAUGGCAACAUAAAAAUUCACCAAAUAUUUACUAGAGAGCCAGGUCGGUUCAAGUUUAGAGAUGUCAGCUGUUUCUGUAGUUUUCCCGUCGAUUGUGACUGUUUUACUCCAAAACAUCACAUGUUUCCUAUCAAUGAACAGAGGGCGAUAGGUGAUCCAUCUGAUACAGUUGCAUCGGAAGACAGCGGAGAGGCUUAGGACUCGCGAGGAUCUAUACACAGAUUUGAACAUUUCGACGAGACAUUUAAGGGCACGUACUGUGUUGUAACUUAUGAUGGAAUACCAUACCAUGGAACAGUUCAGGACGUUGAUGAUAAUGAGGUAGAAGUCAGCGUUAUGCACUGCAUUGGUCCCAACCGAUUCUUCUGGCCGCGGAUGCAGGAUGUGUUGUGGUACCCAAGUGACCAGUAUAUAACCCAAAUUCCACCACCAUCCAAUAUUGGAAGUCAGCAUCAACAAAUUGAGCCAGC